rnacentral:miRNA from 1 species
AUGGGGAGGUUCAGAGCAUCAGA